rnacentral:rRNA from 1 species
UACGAAGGGUGCAAACGUUGCUCGGAAUCAUUGGGCGUAAAGCGCACGUAGGCGCCCAGCAAGUUGGAUGUGAAAUCCCUCGGCUCAACCGAGGACGUGCAUCCAAACUGCUGGGCUUGAGUACUGAAGAGGAUCGCGGAAUUCCCGGUGUAGAGGUGAAUCGUAGAUAUCGGGAGGAACACCAGUGGCGAAGGCGGCGAUCUGGGCAGAUACUGACGCUGAGGUGCGAAAGCGUGGGAGCAACAGG